UAACUGAGCGAAAUAUUCAAACAUAGGCUGCGUCCGAAAUACCCUAAUAUAGUGCACUAUUUGAGGGGUCAUCCAUUUUUUAAUGGUCUCCGAAUUCAAAGUGGACAUUAUUGAGUGCACUCAUUCAAUUCAUGAUAGAUCAUAAUAACAAAUGUACAACCGAUGUAAACUCGCGGCUAGCUGCUAGCCAUCUAUCGUGGAGCUCGCGCUGAAUGAAUUCCCGCGUCUCGGCAGAAGAUGGCGCCCGCACCAUUUCCAGUCCACUGAGUGUCCGAAUUUAGUCACCUAUUUCCUUAAAGUAUACUAUAUUAGUGAAAUAAUGUAGGGAAUAGUGAAUGAGGGUGUAGUGGUCGAUUUCGGACACAGACAGUGGCGCCUUUUAUAGCGGGAGGAGAUGAAGUUUAGCAUCAUGGACCUUUGAUUUUAAGCGCAGAGACACAGAAUACUUUUGGUUAUGCGGACUUAUAGAAAUAAUGGACGAAUUUAUAUUUCUAAAAGGUGUAUAAUGAUUUAUGAGGAAAUCUGUUCUUUGUUUUUACGAACUUGGUUCAAACAUGCUGCUCCAUCUCAGGUGUGCUCACCUUGCACCCUUAGGUGUGCCACAACAGAAGUCCCUUCUGCCUCACAGGAGUAAAUCCCCCCAUCCUGAGGUUCCACACAGCUAAUGUACAACCUUGCAACAGUCCAGUCCCUUUCCACUAUUACCCUGCGACCAUCUGCUUGUACAGUAAAUGUUUUCAUGUACCACUGCAUGGCUCCCAGAGGAAGUUGAGGACCCUCAGCAAGGAGGUUUUUCCGGUUCCUGUGUUUCCUACCACGAGCAGGUGCUCUCCUUGAGUGAUCCUUAUGGUCAGAUCCU